rnacentral:rRNA from 1 species
GUGGGGAAUUUUGGACAAUGGGCGCAAGCCUGAUCCAGCAAUGCCGCGUGCAGGAAGAAGGCCUUCGGGUUGUAAACUGCUUUUGUACGGAACGAAACGGUCCGGGUUAAUACCCUGGGCUAAUGACGGUACCGUAAGAAUAAGCACCGGCUAACUACGUGCCAGCAGCCGCGGUAAUACGUAGGGUUCAAGCGUUAAUCGGAAUUACUGGGCGUAAAGCGUUCGCAGGCGGUUUUGUAAGACAGGCGUGAAAUCCCCGGGCUCAACCUGGGAAUUGCGCUUGGGACUGCAAGGCUGGAGUGCGGCAGAGGGGGAUGGAAUUCCGCGUGUAGCAGUGAAAUGCGUAGAUAUGCGGAGGAACACCGAUGGCGAAGGCAAUCCCCUGGGCCUGCACUGACGCUCAUGCACGAAAGCGUGGGGAGCAAACAGGAUUAGAAACCCUGGUAGUCC